UACAGAGGUCUCAAGCGUUGUUCGGAUUCAUUGGGCGUAAAGGGCGCGUCGGCGGUCCUGAUCGUCGGAUGUGAAAGGCCUGGGCUCAACCUGGGAAUGGCAUCCGAUACGGCGGGACUGGAGUGUGGGAGAGGUUGGUGGAAUUCCCAGUGUAGAGGUGAAAUUCGUAGAUAUUCGCAAGAACACCAGUGGCGAAGGCGGCUCACUGGCCCGGUACUGACGCUGAGGUGCGAAAGCGUGGGGAGCAAACAGGG
rnacentral:rRNA from 1 species